AGUGAACGCUGGCGGUAGGCCUAACACAUGCAAGUCGAACGGCAGCACAGUAAGAGCUUGCUCUUACGGGUGGCGAGUGGCGGACGGGUGAGGAAUACAUCGGAAUCUACUUUUUCGUGGGGGAUAACGUAGGGAAACUUACGCUAAUACCGCAUACGACCUACGGGUGAAAGCAGGGGAUCUUCGGACCUUGCGCGAUUGAAUGAGCCGAUGUCGGAUUAGCUAGUUGGCGGGGUAAAGGCUCACCAAGGCGACGAUCCGUAGCUGGUCUGAGAGGAUGAUCAGCCACACUGGAACUGAGACACGGUCCAGACUCCUACGGGAGGCAGCAGUGGGGAAUAUUGGACAAUGGGCGCAAGCCUGAUCCAGCCAUACCGCGUGGGUGAAGAAGGCCUUCGGGUUGUAAAGCCCUUUUGUUGGGAAAGAAAAGCAGCAGGUUAAUACCCCGCUGUUCUGACGGUACCCAAAGAAUAAGCACCGGCUAACUUCGUG
rnacentral:rRNA from 1 species